CUGUUAGUCUUUGAGGAAGCCAGUGUUGGUAGGGACAUCUGAGAGUGUCCAUGAAUGCCAACAGCUCUGAUGGAAAAAA